GUGCACCAGGCGCGAAUCUUCCACAAUGGACGAAAGUCUGAUGGAGCGACGCCGCGUGCGGGAUGAAGGCCUUAUGGGUUGUAAACCGCUGUCAGGGGGAAGAACAUCGGAAUGAACAAUACUCAUUCCGACUGACGUUACCCCCAGAGGAAGCUCCGGCCAACUCCGUGCCAGCAGCCGCGGUAAUACGGGGGAGCAAGCGUUGUCCGGAAUUAUUGGGCGUAAAGGGCGUGUAGGCGGCGAGGUAAGUCGAAUGUGAAAUCUCAC
rnacentral:rRNA from 1 species